rnacentral:rRNA from 1 species
AGAAUCAACGCUGGCGGCGUGCCUAACACAUGCAAGUCGAGCGCGAAAGGGGAGCAAUCCCCAAGUAGAGCGGCGAACGGGUGAGUAACGCGUGGGUAAUCUACCUUCGAGUGGGGAAUAACAGCGGGAAACUGCUGCUAAUACCGCAUGACAUCGUCGAUCCUUCGGGACUGACGAUCAAAGCCGGGGACCGCAAGGCCUGGCGCUUGAAGACGAGCCCGCGUCCGAUUAGCUAGUUGGCGGGGUAAUGGCCCACCAAGGCUUCGAUCGGUAGCCGGCCUGAGAGGGCGGACGGGCCACGACUGGGACUGAGACACGGCCCAGACUCCUACGGAGGCAGCAGUGGGAAUUUUUCGCAAUGGGGGAAACCCUGACGAAGCAACGCCGCGUGGAGGAUGAAGGCCUUCGGGUCGUAAACUCCUGUCGACCGGGACGAACGCUAUAGGGCCCAAUACGCCUGAUAGUCGACUGUACCGGUGGAGAAGCCACGGCGUAACUCGUGUGCCAGCAGCCGCGGUAAC